rnacentral:rRNA from 1 species
ACGGGCAGACUAGAGUGCGGUAGGGGAGAAUGGAAUUCCUGGUGUAGCGGUGGAAUGCGCAGAUAUCAGGAGGAACACCGAUGGCGAAGGCAGUUCUCUGGGCCGUAACUGACGCUGAGGAGCGAAAGCGUGGGGAGCGAACAGGAUUAGAUACCCUGGUAGUCCACGCCGUAAACGUUGGGCGCUAGAUGUGGGGACCAUUCCACGGUUUCCGUGUCGCAGCUAACGCAUUAAGCGCCCCGCCUGGGGAGUACGGCCGCAAGGCUAAAACUCAAAGGAAUUGACGGGGGCCCGCACAAGCGGCGGAGCAUGCGGAUUAAUUCGAUGCAACGCGAAGAACCUUACCAAGGCUUGACAUACACGAGAACGCCCUAGAAAUAGGGAACUCUUUGGACACUCGUGAACAGGUGGUGCAUGGUUGUCGUCAGCUCGUGUCGUGAGAUGUUGGGUUAAGUCCCGCAACGAGCGCAACCCUCGUUCUAUGUUGCCAGCGCGUAAUGGCGGGAACUCAUAGGAGACUGCCGGGGUCAACUCGGAGGAAGGUGGGGAUGACGUCAAAUCAUCAUGCCCCUUAUGUCUUGGGCUUCACGCAUGCUACAAUGGCCGGUACAAAGGGCUGCAAUACCGUAAGGUGGAGCGAAUCCCAAAAAGCCGGUCUCAGUUCGGAUUGAGGUCUGCAACUCGACCUCAUGAAGUCGGAGUCGCUAGUAAUCGCAGAUCAGCAA